rnacentral:rRNA from 7 species
CCCCGGUAAACGGCGGCCGUAACUAUAACGGUCCUAAGGUAGCGAAAUUCCUUGUCGGGUAAGUUCCGACCUGCACGAAUGGCGUAAUGAUGGCCAGGCUGUCUCCACCCGAGACUCAGUGAAAUUGAACUCGCUGUGAAGAUGCAGUGUACCCGCGGCAAGACGGAAAGACCCCGUGAACCUUUACUAUAGCUUGACACUGAACAUUGAGCCUUGAUGUGUAGGAUAGGUGGGAGGCUUUGAAGUGUGGACGCCAGUCUGCAUGGAGCCGACCUUGAAAUACCACCCUUUAAUGUUUGAUGUUCUAACGUGGACCCGUAAUCCGGGUUGCGGACAGUGUCUGGUGGGUAGUUUGACUGGGGCGGUCUCCUCCUAAAGAGUAACGGAGGAGCACGAAGGUUGGCUAAUCCUGGUCGGACAUCAGGAGGUUAGUGCAAUGGCAUAAGCCAGCUUGACUGCGAGCGUGACGGCGCGAGCAGGUGCGAAAGCAGGUCAUAGUGAUCCGGUGGUUCUGAAUGGAAGGGCCAUCGCUCAACGGAUAAAAGGUACUCCGGGGAUAACAGGCUGAUACCGCCCAAGAGUUCAUAUCGACGGCGGUGUUUGGCACCUCGAUGUCGGCUCAUCACAUCCUGGGGCUGAAGUAGGUCCCAAGGGUAUGGCUGUUCGCCAUUUAAAGUGGUACGCGAGCUGGGUUUAGAACGUCGUGAGACAGUUCGGUCCCUAUCUGCCGUGGGCGCUGGAGAACUGAGGGGGGCUGCUCCUAGUACGAGAGGACCGGAGUGGACGCAUCACUGGUGUUCGGGUUGUCAUGCCAAUGGCACUGCCCGGUAGCUAAAUGCGGAAGAGAUAAGUGCUGAAAGCAUCUAAGCACGAAACUUGCCCCGAGAUGAGUUC